rnacentral:rRNA from 1 species
UGGAUCGCCCUUAGAGUUUGAUCCUGGCUCAGGACGAACGCUGGCGGCGUGCUUAACACAUGCAAGUCGAACGGACCUCUUUUUAGGAAGCCUUCGGGCGGAAAAUUUUGAGGUUAGUGGCGGACGGGUGAGUAACGCGUGGGUAACCUGGCCUUUACACGGGGACAACAGCUGGAAACGGCUGCUAAUACCGGAUGUGCUGGCGGGAUCGCAUGAUUCUGCUAGGAAAGAUGGCCUCUAUUAAUAAGCUAUCGGUAAAGGAUGGACCCGCGUCUGAUUAGGUAGUUGGUGAGGUAGUGGCUCACCAAGCCUGCGAUCAGUAGCCGGCCUGAGAGGGUGGCCGGCCACAUUGGGACUGAGAUACGGCCCAAACUCCUACGGGAGGCAGCAGUGGGGAAUCUUCCGCAAUGGGCGCAAGCCUGACGGAGCAACGCCGCGUGAGUGAAGAAGGCCUUCGGGUCGUAAAGCUCUGUCUUCAGGGAAGAACAACUAGGGUGUGAAUAAUGCCUUAGCCUGACGGUACCUGAGGAGGAAGCUCCGGCUAACUACGUGCCAGCAGCCGCGGUAAUACGUAGGGAGCGAGCGUUGUCCGGAAUUACUGGGCGUAAAGGGCGUGUAGGCGGGGAUUUAAGUAAGGUGUGAAAACUCCAGGCUCAACUUGGAGACUGCACUUUAAACUGGAUCUCUUGAGGGCAGGAGAGGAAAGUGGAAUUCCUAGUGUAGCGGUGAAAUGCGUAGAUAUUAGGAGGAACACCAGUGGCGAAGGCGACUUUCUGGACUGUACCUGACGCUGAGGCGCGAAAGCGUGGGUAGCGAACAGGAUUAGGUACCCUGGUAGUCCACGCCGUAAACGAUGAGUGCUAGGUGUUGGGGGUCAAACCUCGGUGCCGCAGCUAACGCAUUAAGCACUCCGCCUGGGGAGUACGUACGCAAGUAUGAAACUCAAAGGAAUUGACGGGGACCCGCACAAGCAGCGGAGCAUGUGGUUUAAUUCGAAGCAACGCGAAGAACCUUACCAGGGCUUGACAUGCCGUUGACCGGUCUAGAGAUAGACCUUUAUCCUUCGGGGUACAGCGGACACAGGUGGUGCAUGGUUGUCGUCAGCUCGUGUCGUGAGAUGUUGGGUUAAGUCCCACAACGAGCGCAACCCUUGUCUUUAGUUGCCAUCAUUAAGUUGGGCACUCUAAAGAGACUGCCGAUGACAAAUCGGAGGAAGGUGGGGAUGACGUCAAAUCAUCAUGCCCUUUAUGUCCUGGGCUACACACGUGCUACAAUGGUCGGUACAACGAGAAGCAAGCCAGCGAUGGCAAGCAAAUCUCUAAAAGCCGAUCCCAGUUCGGAUUGCAGGCUGCAACUCGCCUGCAUGAAGUCGGAGUUGCUAGUAAUCGCGGAUCAGAAUGUCGCGGUGAAUGCGUUCCCGGGUCUUGUACACACCGCCCGUCACACCAUGGGAGUUGUCAAUACCCGAAGCCAGUGAGCUAACCAGCAAUGGAGGCAGCUGUCGAAGGUAGGGGCAAUGACUGGGGUGAAGUCGUAACAAGGUAACCAAGGGCGAUCC